AAAAAAAAAGGGAGCUGAAAAGCUAGAAAAAACUACGGGCGGUUUGACGCUUUUUAGGCUGGAACUUGAGUCUUGAGACCACCAUCACCAAUCACACAUCUUUAGCAUUAUCAUGGCACCUCAUUCUACUGCAAUACUGCAUUAUAUUUAUAGAUGAAAACGCUUGAACAACCGAUUUCUUUCUUGUUUUAGAAGAUCGUCCCACGAAAGCCACCUCUUCUUCUUCUUUCCUUCAAGUUCUUGGUGGGUUUUUAGGGAUCUUAACUGGAUUUGAGAUUCUGCUGUGAACUAUAACGUCUGAAUGGGUUCAUCGGAUCGCUUGUUUAACAGGCAAAGAACUGUUCAUGAGAUCUUUGGAGGAGGAUUUGUUGCAGAGGUCAUACUAUGGAGACGAAAGAAUGCAACUGUUGGGAUAUUGUUAGUAGCUCUAGCUUCCUGGGUGGUGUUUGGGAGAUCGGGUUACACUCUGUUGUCGCUUGUUUCUAGUGUUCUUCUCCUCCUUCUUACGAUUCUUUUUCUUUGGGCCAAAUCUGCUGCCAUUCUUAACCGACCUUCUCCACCUUUACCAGAGUUGCAUCUCUCAGAAGAAAUGGUAAAUGAAGUUGCGGCUUUCAUCCGCACUCACUUGAAUGCUCUUCUCUCAGUUUCCCAGGACAUUGCCCUGGGUAAGGACACAAAGUUAUUCUUUCAAGUAGCUGGUUACCUGUUGCUGAUAUCUAUUGUUGGUGGCUUAGCUGAUUUUCUUACUUUGGGUUACACCAGUCUUCUUAUCAUACUUACAAUUCCUGCACUCUAUGAGAGGUACCAAGAUUUUAUUGAUAAAUAUGUCGAGACGGUGUGCAAGAAAUCACAGCAGUUGUAUGUAAAGUUUGAUAUGCAAUGUAUUGGCAGAAUCCGAAAAUGGAUUUUGGAGAAGCAGAAACUCAGCUGAUAUCUUCCUUAAUUCUAUUCUUGCUGAGGAUUUCUUGCUUCAUGUUCUUAUUGAGCUUUGGACGUUGGAGAUAUCUCUAUUUCUUCUCUGUUUUCUUUGGCCACUUUAAAACAAUUACAUCCAUUUUUGUACCUUCAUUCCCUCGCUGUGGUUUUGUUGGUGGCAUUGGUACAGAAAUGUAUAGGAGUUGCCACCAAGAAUCUCCAUGUCUAUAUAAAUACAUUAAAAGGGAGUUUUUAAUUGAAGCAGAUCCAAAUCAAAUUGGAUUCCACUAUUCAAUUCAAAAUUCCCUUUUAAUGUAUUUAUAUAGACAUGGAGAUUCUUGGUGGCAACUCCUAUACAUUUCUGUACCAAUGCCACCAACAAAACCACAGCGAGGGAAUGAAGGUACAAAAAUGGAUGUAAUUGUUUUAAAGUGGCCAAAGAAAACAGAGAAGAAAUAGAGAUAUCUCCAACGUCCAAAGCUCAAUAAGAACAUGAAGCAAGAAAUCCUCAGCAAGAAUAGAAUUAAGGAAGAUAUCAGCUGAGUUUCUGCUUCUCCAAAAUCCAUUUUC
rnacentral:misc_RNA from 1 species